AUUGAACGCUGGCGGCAUGCUUUACACAUGCAAGUCGGACGGCAGCGGGGUAGUGCUUGCACUACUGCCGGCGAGUGGCGAACGGGUGAGUAAUAUAUUGGAACGUACCGAGUAAUGGGGGAUAACCAAUCGAAAGAUUGGCUAAUACCGCAUACGCUCUGAGGAGGAAAGCAGGGGACCUUCGGGCCUUGCGUUAUUCGAGCGGCCAAUAUCUGAUUAGCUAGUUGGUGGGGUAAGGGCCUACCAAGGCGACGAUCAGUAGCGGGUCUGAGAGGAUGAUCCGCCACACUGGGACUGAGACACGGCCCAGACUCCUACGGGAGGCAGCAGUGGUGAAUUUUGGACAAUGGGCGCAAGCCUGAUCCAGCCAUGCCGCGUGUCUGAAGAAGGCCUUCGGGUUGUAAAGGACUUUUGUUAGGGAAGAAAAAGGAGCGGUUAAUACCCGUUUCUGCUGACGGUACCUAAAGAAUAAGCACCGGCUAACUACGUG
rnacentral:rRNA from 1 species